rnacentral:rRNA from 1 species
UACGUAGGGUGCAAGCGUUAAUCGGAAUUACUGGGCGUAAAGCGUGCGCAGGCGGUUUGCUAAGACAGGUGUGAAAUCCCCGGGCUUAACCUGGGAACUGCGCUUGUAACUGGCAAGCUGGAGUGUGGCAGAGGGGGGUGGAAUUCCCGGUGUAGCGGUGAAAUGCGUAGAGAUCGGGAGGAACAUCAGUGGCGAAGGCGGCCAUCUGGGACAACACUGACGCUGAAGCACGAAAGCGUGGGGAGCAAACAGG